rnacentral:misc_RNA from 1 species
GUGAUCAACAGGUUUCCUCCCAGUUAAAAGUUCCAGAAGAACCACCCCAAAACUAUAAACAUCACUCUUCUGUGUCAAUUGUCCAGUCAUUGCGUACUCUGGAGCAUGAUAACCAAAGGUUCCCAAAACACGAGUAGAAUGAAGGCGAGCAGCCAUGUCAGGAGCCUGAUUUGAAAGAUUAAAAUCUGCAAUCUUGGCUUUGAAGUCCUCAAAUAGAAGCACAUUGCUUGAUCUGAUAUCUCUGUGUAUUAUAGGUGGUUGUACCUUCUCAUGCAAGUAUUCCAAACCCCUUGCUGCAUCAACUGCAAUUCUCACACGCUGCAUCCAGUCAAGAGUAGGACCUGGUUGUGCCCCUUGAACUCCUUUUCUACCAUGCAAUAUGUCAUGGAGAGAACCCAUUGUUGCAAAUUCAUAAGCAAGCACUCGAAGAUUUCCUUCCACACAGUAACCAAGCAACUCAACAACAUUUUCAUGCUUCAAUUUUGAAACCAUGGAAACCUGAGUCAAAAAUUCAACAUUUGAUUCUUGCUCAGAUGCUGUAUCAAGUUUUUUUACGGCAACAGCUUUCCCAUUAUCUAAGUUAGCAUAAUAUACUCUUCCAUACGAUCCUUCACCAAUCAAUGCCUUUGAACCGAAAUUGUCAGUCUUCUCUUUCAGUUCAUCUAAAGACAACGCAGGCACUUCAAUUGGAGGUGCUUCCUUCUGAACUUCAGCUUUGACAGGAGCUGAUACCUUCGAGCCUUUCACAGGGUUCCCAUCUGUGUAGCUUUUUGGGCUUCUUAGUUGCUCAUUUUCGUGUGAUGGAUAUGAUUCUUCUACCUGACAUGUACAACAGAGCCACCUGCGCAUCUUAUCUCUCUUCCUCAAAGCUGAAUCGUCUACAGCACCUGUUUUAUCCAAUAGAUAGUAUCCAGGGGAAGGUGCAUGUGCCCCCAAAUUGCGCUGAUGAUAAUCGUCCUCCAUUAAACAAAUUCAAGAUCACAAACAAAUCAAGAAAAAGAACCCAAAAGUACAGCCAAAAACUGGAGAAAGAAAAGACUGAAAGAAUAAAGAAAAAGAAUGAAGAAUCGAAAGAGAAACAAUGAAAAUGAAAGAAUAGAAAUGAAACGAAAGGUAAAGGGCGAAAGAGACCCAAAUAUUAAAACAAAACAAGAAAUGGAAAAAUGAAAUCAAAACCGAAAUUACAGGAAUAGACAAGAUACCUGAGCUUUCUCUCUCUAACUCUCUGGCAUGAAGCCUCAAAAAUUGAUGGUUUUGAUGGGAAAUUAGGUUAGAGAGAGAGAGAGAGGAAGGAAAAAUACCUGGUCUGGUGGCGUUCUCCAAGUCUACUGGUGGGGGGAGUCUAAGGUUUUUUCAAUAAUUUUUAUGUUGU